CCUACGGGGUGCAGCAGUGAGGCAUAUUGGUCAAUGGUCGGGAGACUGAACCAGCCAAGCCGCGUGAGGGAUGAAGGUACAGAGUAUCGUAAACCUCUUUUGUCAGGGAACAAAGGCGGGGACGUGUCCCCGGAUGAGUGUACCUGAAGAAAAAGCAUCGGCUAACUCCGUGCCCGCAGCCGCGGUAAUAGGGAGGAUGCGAGCGUUAUCCGGUUUUAUGGGGUUUAAAGGGUGCGCAGGCGGUCUGUUAAGUCAGAGGUCAAAUCCCGGGGCUCAACCCCUGCCCGCCGUUGAAAAUGGCAGUCUCGAGUUGGAGAGAAGUAUGCGGAAUGCGCGGUGUAGCGGUGAAAUGCAUAGAUAUCGCGCAGAACUCCGAUUGCGAAGGCAGCAUGCCGGCUCCACACUGACGCUGAGGCACGAAAGCGUGGGUAUCGAACAGGAUUAGAUACCCCUGUAGUC
rnacentral:rRNA from 1 species